rnacentral:pre_miRNA from 1 species
GACGGAACCAGUGACUUGAGCUUACGAAUCAUCAGCCAUUGCUCGCUUUGAAAUGCUUUGAUUUGUAAGCUCAGCAGGCGUGGUUUCAAA